GACGAACGCUGGCGGCGUGCCUAAUACAUGCAAGUCGAGCGAGCGGAGCUAACUGAUUUACUUCGGUAAUGACGUUCGGAAAGCGAGCGGCGGAUGGGCGAGUAACACGUGGGGAAUCUGCCCCAUAGUCUGGGAUACCUCUUGCAAACAGGUGCUAAUAGCGGAUAAGAAAGCAGAUCGCAUGAUCAGCUUUUAAAAGGCGGCGUAAGCUGUCGCUAUGGGAUGGCUCCGCGGUGCAUUAGCUAGUUGGUAAGGUAAAGGCUUACCAAGGCGAUGAUGCAUAGCCGGGUUGAGAGACUGAUCGGCCACAUUGGGACUGAGACACGGCCCAGACUCCUACGGGAGGCAGCAGUAGGGAAUCUUCCACAAUGGACGCAAGUCUGAUGGAGCAACGCCGCGUGAGUGAAGAAGGUUUUCGGAUCGUAAAGCUCUGUUGUUUGUGAAGAAGGAUAGAGGUAGUAACUGGCCUUUAUUUGACGGUAAUCAACCAGAAAGUCACGGCUAACUACGUG
rnacentral:rRNA from 1 species